ensembl:snoRNA Z30 small nucleolar RNA
CUGCAGUGAUGAGUCUUGAAGGGACUGAUCUGGUAUUGCUUCCCUCCGAGGAGGCUCUGACCAGGGAAUGACCUCCAGUUAAUCUUCUCUCUGAGCAG